GGAGCUGCCAAUGGAGCAGGAGGAGGCACAGCUGGAGGUGGAGACGCCGGAGGGGGACUAGCAGGGGGAGGAGAAGCCGGAGGAGGAGAUGCCGGAGGUGGUGAAGCAGGAGGUGGUGAAGCCGGAGGAGGAGAUGCUGGAGGAGGAGAAGCCGGAGGAGGGGAUGCAGGAGGGGGAGAUGCAGGAGGAGGAGAAGCAGGAGGUGGAGAUGAAGGAGGAGGAGAGGAAACCGGCGGCGGUGUCGCCGGAGGUGGAGAGGUGACCGCCGGUGGUGGACUCGCCGCUGGAG
rnacentral:lncRNA from 1 species